rnacentral:SRP_RNA from 1 species
CGACGGGUAGGGCCGGGUCGUUUGCCACGACCUGUCACCGGUAUGGCAAUAACCGGGGCCAGUAACCGACAUCGAGGGUGAAACGGAACCUCGGUGGGUCCAGUCGCAUGACGAUGAUGAGCAGUCUCUGGAGUCCGUCACGGCGACAGCAACAGUUGAAGGACCGUUGCAAGUCUGCUCAGACUGCCGAACCAGGUCAGGCCCGGGAGGGAACAGCCUUAAGGCAGAGUGAUGGAGCCCCAGAGGGUGCUGCUCAGAGAAGGGCACUGAUUUGCCCGCCGACUACCGACAUCCGGAAUCAAGGAGCCGUCG